rnacentral:miRNA from 1 species
CUCCCAUACUCAGCUAUCGGC